GUCCACGCCGUAAACGAUGGGCACUAGAUGCCGGGCCUAUAGACGGGUUCGGUGUCGUAGCUAACGCAUUAAGUGCCCCGCCUGGGGAGUACGGCCGCAAGGCUGAAACUCAAAGGAAUUGACGGGGGCCCGCACAAGCGGUGGAGCAUGUGGUUUAAUUCGAAGCAACGCGAAGAACCUUACCUAGGCUUGACAUACAUGUGAAACACCCUGGAAACAGGGUGUCUCCUUCGGGACACUUGUACAGGUGCUGCAUGGCUGUCGU
rnacentral:rRNA from 1 species